rnacentral:rRNA from 1 species
UACAUAGGUCUCAAGCGUUGUUCGGAUUCAUUGGGUGUAAAGGGUGCGUAGGCGGCGCGGUAAGUCGGGUGUGAAAUCUUGGAGCUUAACUCCGAAACUGCAUUCGAUACUGCCGUGCUUGAGGACUGGAGAGGAGACUGGAAUUUACGGUGUAGCGGUGAAAUGCGUAGAUAUCGUAAGGAAGACCAGUGGCGAAGGCGGGUCUCUGGACAGUACCUGACGCUGAGGCACGAAGGCCAGGGGAGCAAACGGG